rnacentral:rRNA from 1 species
AUUGAACGCUGGCGGCGUGCUUAACACAUGCAAGUCGAACGAGUGGCGGACGGGUGAGUAAUGUAUGGGGAUCUGCCCGAUAGAGGGGGAUAACUACUGGAAACGGUGGCUAAUACCGCAUACUGUCGGAUGAACCCAUAUGGGAUUAGCUUGUUGGUAAGGUAAUGGCUUACCUAGGCGACGAUCCCUAGCUGGUCUGAGAGGAUGAUCAGCCACACUGGGACUGAGACACGGUCCAGACUCCUACGGGAGGCAGCAGUGGGGAAUAUUGGACAAUGGGCGAAAGCCUGAUGCAGCCAUGCCGCGUGUGUGAAGAAGGCCUUCGGAUUGUAAAGCACUUUAAGUUGGGAGGCGUUACCGACAGAAGAAGCACCGGCUAACUCCGUGCCAGCCGCCGCGGUAAUUC